rnacentral:rRNA from 1 species
AUGAGUAACACAACUGGUGCAAUGUUGAGCUGGAAUGUGAGAGGGAUGAAUUGGCCAGCGAAGCGUGCAACCGUGUGUGAGAUUGCGGAGGCUCAUCGAGCAAGCAUUCUAUGCCUCCAAGAAACAAAGUUGGAAUCCUCGACACCUGCCAUUGUUCACGAGCUAGGUGGCCGCAAGCUAGAGGGGUGCGCCGUUCUGCCUGCAAUGGGUACCAGAGGGGGAGCGGCCAUUCUCUGGGACAAGACCGUCAUCAGUUUCACCACUCAUGCAAUCGACUACUUCUCGAUCACGGGCAAAGUAUCUGAUCUGCAAGACAACUCCUCUUUUUGGCUCACGACACUAUACGGUCCUGCUGAUGAUGCACACAAGGACGCUUUCCUGGCAGAGAUGGCACACGCUGCACCGCCGCCCGGAGAGCCCUGGCUGGUCAAUGGAGAUUUCAACGUCAUAUAUGAAGCGAGAGACAAGAACAAUCUGAAUCUGAAUAGGAGGAUUAUGAGCAAGUUCAGGGCAGAUAUAGACACGAUAGGUUUGCGCGAGAUCAAGUGCAAAAAUAGAAGGUUCACAUGGACAAACGAGCGGCAGGACCCAACAAUGGUCUGCAUCGACAAGGUUUUCUGCAAUGUAGAAUGGGAUGCCCUCUUUCCAUCAUACAUGGUAAUGGCUUCGGCAACAGGAUCACUACCCGCUCGUGCUGGCCAACACCGCAACUCCAAAGAGGAGGCCCGUUUUCCGUUUUGA